UACGUGGGGUGCAAGCGUUAAUCGGAAUUACUGGGCGUAAAGCGUGCGCAGGCGGUUUUGUAAGUCUGUCGUGAAAUCCCCGGGCUCAACCUGGGAAUGGCGAUGGAGACUGCAAGGCUAGAGUUUGGCAGAGGGGGGUAGAAUUCCACGUGUAGCAGUGAAAUGCGUAGAGAUGCGGAGGAACACCGAUGGCGAAGGCAGCCCCCUGGGCCAAUACUGACGCUCAGGCACGAAAGCGUGGGGAGCAAACAGG
rnacentral:rRNA from 1 species